rnacentral:rRNA from 1 species
AUUGAACGCUGGCGGCAGGCCUAACACAUGCAAGUCGAACGAGUGGCGGACGGGUGAGUAAUGUCUGGGAAACUGCCUGAUGGAGGGGGAUAACUACUGGAAACGGUAGCUAAUACCGCAUACCAUCAGAUGUGCCCAGAUGGGAUUAGCUUGUUGGUGGGGUAACGGCUCACCAAGGCGACGAUCCCUAGCUGGUCUGAGAGGAUGACCAGCCACAACGGAACCGAGGCACCGGUCAGACCCCUUCGGGGAGGAGGAGGUGGGAAUUUUUCACCAAGGGGGCAAACCCUAACCAAGCCUGCCGCGUGUAAGGAGGAGGCCUUCGGGUUUGAAAAUUAUUUCAUCGGGGAGGCGUUACCCGCAGAAGAAGCACCGGCUAACUCCGUGCCAGCAGCCGCGGUAAUUC